rnacentral:lncRNA from 1 species
GGUGGAGAUACUUCAAAUGUGUGCAAGAUGCUUGAUGAAUGUGAAGGAAAACAACCCCUACUGUUUUGCUCUCACCAAAGCCCAAACUUGGAUGAUGAAGUGGUGUAAAAAUGGUGGAGAAAGGGUUUUUUGAGAAGAGGGGUGAAGGGAAAAGUGGAGAGAAUGCUUUGAAGAGUGCUUGAGAGUGAAAAGAGUGAGUGAGGGUCGAAUGAGGAGGCUUGGGCGAGACCUAGAGUAAGCAAAGUGUGGAAUGGGCCAACUCACGCUCAACGUCAGUUACCGCUGAGUGGUGUCGCGAUUUCAAAUCUCCCAUUUAUGGCUUGCCCUAAGCAUCGUUGACCUUGUGCCACUGAAAUUAAACUCUCAAACUUCAAAUUUCAUGCAAUUUCCACUCACUCCACUAAAAAAUUUUAACAAUCAAACCCUAAAAUGCAACUAGAACAAAAUCA